CCUACGGGAGGCAGCAGUGGGGGAUAUUGCACAAUGGGGGGAACCCUGAUGCAGCGACGCCGCGUGGGUGAAGGAGUGCUUCGGCAUGUAAAGCCCUAUCGGCAGGGAAGAAGCAAGACGGUACCUGACUAAGAAGCCCCGGCUAACUACGUGCCAGCAGCCGCGGUAAUACGUAGGGGUCGAGCGUUAUCCGGAUUCACUGGGUGUAAAGGGAGCGUAGACGGCCAUGCAAGCCAGGGGGGAAAGCCCGGGGCCCAACCCCGGGACUGCCCUUGGAACUGUGCGGCUAGAGUGCGGGAGGGGCAGGCGGAAUUCCUGGUGUAGCGGUGAAAUGCGUAGAUAUCAGGAGGAACACCGGCGGCGAAGGCGGCCUGCUGGACUGCGACUGACGUUGAGGCUCGAAAGCGUGGGGAGCGAACAGGAUUAGAUACCCUGGUAGUC
rnacentral:rRNA from 1 species